ensembl:snRNA U6 U6 spliceosomal RNA
GUGCUCACUUCAGCAGCAGCUAUACUAAAAUUGGAAUGAUACAGAGAAAAUUAUCAUGGCCCCUGCAUAAGAAUGACAUGCAAAUUUGUGAAGUCUUCCAUAUUUUU